rnacentral:rRNA from 1 species
CAGGACGAACGCUGGCGGCGUGCCUAAUACAUGCAAGUCGAGCGGACAGAUGGGAGCUUGCUCCCUGAUGUUAGCGGCGGACGGGUGAGUAACACGUGGGUAACCUGCCUGUAAGACUGGGAUAACUCCGGGAAACCGGGGCUAAUACCGGAUGCUUGUUUGAACCGCAUGGUUCAGACAUAAAAGGUGGCUUCGGCUACCACUUACAGAUGGACCCGCGGCGCAUUAGCUAGUUGGUGAGGUAACGGCUCACCAAGGCGACGAUGCGUAGCCGACCUGAGAGGGUGAUCGGCCACACUGGGACUGAGACACGGCCCAGACUCCUACGGGAGGCAGCAGUAGGGAAUCUUCCGCAAUGGACGAAAGUCUGACGGAGCAACGCCGCGUGAGUGAUGAAGGUUUUCGGAUCGUAAAGCUCUGUUGUUAGGGAAGAACAAGUGCCGUUCAAAUAGGGCGGCACCUUGACGGUACCUAACCAGAAAGCCACGGCUAACUACGUGCCAGCAGCCGCGGUAAUACGUAGGUGGCAAGCGUUGUCCGGAAUUAUUGGGCGUAAAGGGCUCGCAGGCGGUUUCUUAAGUCUGAUGUGAAAGCCCCCGGCUCAACCGGGGAGGGUCAUUGGAAACUGGGGAACUUGAGUGCAGAAGAGGAGAGUGGAAUUCCACGUGUAGCGGUGAAAUGCGUAGAGAUGUGGAGGAACACCAGUGGCGAAGGCGACUCUCUGGUCUGUAACUGACGCUGAGGAGCGAAAGCGUGGGGAGCGAACAGGAUUAGAUACCCUGGUAGUCCACGCCGUAAACGAUGAGUGCUAAGUGUUAGGGGGUUUCCGCCCCUUAGUGCUGCAGCUAACGCAUUAAGCACUCCGCCUGGGGAGUACGGUCGCAAGACUGAAACUCAAAGGAAUUGACGGGGGCCCGCACAAGCGGUGGAGCAUGUGGUUUAAUUCGAAGCAACGCGAAGAACCUUACCAGGUCUUGACAUCCUCUGACAAUCCUAGAGAUAGGACGUCCCCUUCGGGGGCAGAGUGACAGGUGGUGCAUGGUUGUCGUCAGCUCGUGUCGUGAGAUGUUGGGUUAAGUCCCGCAACGAGCGCAACCCUUGAUCUUAGUUGCCAGCAUUCAGUUGGGCACUCUAAGGUGACUGCCGGUGACAAACCGGAGGAAGGUGGGGAUGACGUCAAAUCAUCAUGCCCCUUAUGACCUGGGCUACACACGUGCUACAAUGGACAGAACAAAGGGCAGCGAAACCGCGAGGUUAAGCCAAUCCCACAAAUCUGUUCUCAGUUCGGAUCGCAGUCUGCAACUCGACUGCGUGAAGCUGGAAUCGCUAGUAAUCGCGGAUCAGCAUGCCGCGGGUGAAUACGUUCCCGGGCCUUGUACACACCGCCCGUCACACCACGAGAGUUUGUAACACCCGAAGUCGGUGAGGUAACCUUUAUGGAGCCAGCCGCCGAAGGUGGGACAGAUGAUUGGGGGUGA